rnacentral:rRNA from 1 species
UACAGAGGGUGCGAGCGUUGUUCGGAAUUAUUGGGCGUAAAGGGCGCGUAGGCGGUGCGGUAAGUCACCUGUGAAAUCUCCUGGCUCAACUGGGAGCUUGCAGGCGAAACUGCCGUGCUGGAGUGUGGGAGAGGUGCGUGGAAUUCCCGGUGUAGCGGUGAAAUGCGUAGAUAUCAGGAGGAACACCUGUGGCGAAAGCGGCUCACUGGACCAUAACUGACGCUGAUGCACGAAAGCGUGGGGAGCAAACAGG